rnacentral:pre_miRNA from 1 species
UCGGGGUAAAAUAGUGAGUAGCCGACAUGGGGAAGUGAUCGACUGUUGGGAUAAGUUUAAAUCUGUUUUUUUUUUUUUUACUCCAUAAACUUUUUACCGUGGGUAAAAGGAUUUGUCUUGGGGUAUAAAAAAAAACAGAUUUAAAUUUAGCCCGAUGUAUUUUCCUCAUGAAAGCUGCUCACUAUUUUACCCCAA